AGAACUGAAAACAAUACUCCACAAACAAGUCUGCUGAGUUCUGAAUGCAGCCACAAUGGUCUAUUUAGACAGCUCCCUCUGUUCUGUCAUAUUGAAAUUGUGUUUCUGGUGGAGAAUUUCAUUGAAACCCCAUGAGGAAUAAGUCCUACAUCCACCUGCCUGCUGACAUCCCCGGAGCAAGCAGACAAGCAUGAAGAGUUGGGUGUGUGUGUCUGGACCUGUAUGCUUCAUCUCUUAUAAAUAGAAGAAGGAAGAAGUCUCUUUGUCUUCCAAGUUCUCCAGCCAGCUCCAUUCCUCAUGCAUUUUCUGGCAAAAAUUGAAUCAUCAUUCUCUCCACCAAUGAGGAGUCUUCUACUCAGGUUUGAACCUGAGUUACAUACGUAUUCAUAUGUUCUCUAGCAAGCAUUAUCAAUUCAUUUGCAUUUCCAAAUGCAAUUUGGAUGCCAUUUGCAAUUAUGAAAUUCUAAGACGUAAACACCAUGGGAUCAUCCUAAGAAAGAUCAAAGAAAACACAAUCUAAACACUGUGAAAUGAAUUGUAGCAGUCAUACAUUUUUAAUAGGUUUCAUUCCCAGACAGUGAAUGACCUUGGCAACAGAGUCUUCCAACUUGUGUCAUCCAUUUGUCCACCAACCGAUUAAUGGAUGACAAAGAAAUUGAAAACUACACCAAGAAAACCAACAUGAUGGCCUGACCUCCCGGAGGAUGUAGAACAAAAAGGGAGCAUGGUGCUCUAGAAAGCACUGACACAGGAUAAGGGUGCCUCAUCUCAAGUUCUGGCAUUAUGACUCAGUGUAACCAUGUGUAAAUCACCCUCCCAGAACCUGCUAAUACCUGUGCUACCUACCUCACAGGUUUGUUCAUUCCUUUGGCAAAU